GAAUGGCGACGCUGCUAUGCUACAAGAAGAGAAAGAAGCGGAGAAAAUGAUUUUAGAAGCCUAUGCAGCCCUACUACUUGCUUUUCUUUCUGCUGAAAGUAAAAGCACACGAAAUGCAAUCGCCAAUUAUCUCGCAAAGCACAGCCUGUCGUCUGGUACCUGUGUUGGAGAGAUUUGUGGCAUUUCAUUUUACAUUGAAAAUGAUUUCUCCAGGGACUCAUAAAGCAGCGAGUGAAGUGAUGCGUGUAGGAUACCAUGAGAAGUUAUCAAAUAUCCUGUACAGCCUUAUCUUCUGUUUUAGAUUAGCUGUUUUGUUAUAACAGAAUGCUGGUGCUGACGAGGAUCGGAGUGGGCAACACUGUAUCGAACUGACCCGCAGACCUAGAUGAUCAUCCAUUGAUACGUUUGUUCGACUUACCCCGCCCUACAAUUUUUAUCUUUGUAGCAGUAUGUGCAUCGUCUUGAUGCAGGCGAAGAAGACUCGGUGUACAUGAAAGUGAGGUAUAAUGAAGUUUUUCAUUGCCUUUAAUUAAUGAACAGGUGACUUUGUUUUUGACAAAAUGAGUGAGCAGCAAGAUCCAAAUCAUUGUAAUCUCAUCCCACUCCCAAAUUAUCAAUG